UGCUCCCAGCGCAGCUCCGCGGGCGCGGAGACCCCGCGGGCUCACCCCGACCACGGCCGGGGCAUCCCCGAGGGCUCCCGCGGGCCCGGGCGGUGGCGGUGCCCACCCCGACGUGAGAGGGGGCGGUGAGGUGCCCCCGGGCCGGGCGGCAGCGGCCGCGAGCAGCCCCCUGCCAGUCCCUGAGUCCCCUCCGCGGCCGAGGUCGCCCAUGGCGGGAUCGGGGGUGUGCUGGGGGGCGCGGAGCCGCUCGGCCGGGGAAGGGGGCAGGACUUGCUGCCGUUUCACCGGACGUUAUGAAACUGAGCCCAAAAGAAAGGAGCAGGGGAAAGAAACCGCUAUCUCUUAAUUGUCUCCUCCAGGACGUCGGGAAAAGCCGGGCGCGAGGAGCUUUAAAGGAGAAAGCGCUCCUUCGCGGAAAGCUUCCAUCUCCAAGGAUUCGGCUUCAGUGCUAAGCUUAUCAUAGAGAAACCUACCAGAGCCAAACUUCAAGUUUUGCCUCGCAGAAGCACAAAGAAAUGUCAGGUCAUUAAUUAAGCUUCGUGUGAAAAAAUCUCUCUUCUCUGGAAAUUCAUUUCCAUUUACUUAAAUGGUUUGACUUUGAAUUUUCAUUAUCUGCUGUUGGAAGGAGCCUGUGACAGGAGACCCACAGAAUCUUUAAGGAAAAGGAUCUUUACCUCUGAGCCCGGUAACUCAAGCCUUCACCAGCUAUGGAAUUGCAUCUGUCUAGGAAAUAUUUGCAAACAAAAAGGUACUCCUCUGUACUUCGAUGCAGCAUUCUGUUCUUGGUACGCGGUUAAAACAGAUCACCAGUUCUGCUUUAUUUUUUUUUCCCCAAUAAACUAUGUUUAUUAUGCCAAUUCUAAUUACCAUGCAAUCUAAUGUUUUUAAGGCUUAUAUUUUCCACAUCACUGGACAUCACAAACAUGAAAGCAUUUUAUACUGUCAUUAUACAUCAAUGUUUGCACUUGGGUAUACAUAUAUACAGAAAUUAUUCACACAUCUUAACCUUGCUAUUUCCUCCUUUCAAACCAACAUAAUUUUACUGUGAAAGCAGCUUUUUAAUAAAUGGUAUAAGAAAUACAGCAAGGCACACAUUUUUAAAAACUUUUUUUCUCAUUACCACCUCAAGAAGCAUAAAAAAAAAA